rnacentral:lncRNA from 1 species
GAAGGCUUUGCUACCGGGACUGUUGAGCCACUUGCUGGGGCUUCUCCCGUUCUGUGGAGUGUACUUUCGCUCCUAUUGCCUUCCGCUUCAGUAAAUCUAGGCUUUCAUUGCUUGCUCGCGGGUGCUGUUCAAUUCUUUGUUCAACGCACCAAGAACCAGGACAACUCAUGAUUAGAACCUUCCACUCGGUACCAGCAGUGUGAAGCCUUUCCCAACACCGGGACUAUGGUAGUUCUGGGACCAGUCAGAGUUAAACCCAGGACACUUUCUGGAAGAGACCUGGAGUUGUCAAAGAGCAGGGAUUGGAUGGUUCCAGAGUUUUAGGGACCUGACCAGGCCUGAGAUUUCUGGGAUGGCAAGCUUCUUCUGUUUCAGAGCUAUGUUUCCCAGUGGGCUGCCACAUCUUUGGGUUUCCAGUACUUGGAAUUUUGCUUUCCAGUUGCAGAGCUAAGAAGCCAAUUCACAUUCCAUCGUUGUCCCAAAGUCUUUUUCCUAUUUUGAAUGCCCCAUCUUGUCUGGAUUUAUCAAGGGUCCACAGAUUUACAACUUGAGGUGGCCUGCACCAGACCCACGGGGCAAUAACAGUCUUCCAUUGAAUUCUUUAGCAGUUUCUACAAUUGCAUAAGUUAACAAGAUCAACCUUGCUGGGAAAUGAACAAGCGACCAGGACUGCGUGCAAUUCUACUUGGAGAUCUUCAUAACACCUUAAGGGAAAAAUCCUUUUUGAAAGAAAAACAAGUCUGGGUGGUGCUUGAAAAUUCAGAAGGCAGCUAGAAACUCUGCCAAUUACAACUGGUGAUUGCUGAGUUCUGGAGACAGACUGGGCUUCUGCUUUCUUUUGGUGGAGGUGUCUGCUUGCAGAAAAUUUAUGUUCUGGGAUUUACAACUUCAGGGAGACAAAGGAAACUCCAGCUCAUCUCCCACAUCAUUGAUUGAGAGGACCAUUUUCUGACUGUCUGCACACGUUUCCUAUACUACCCUUUAAUGCAACAAUGGGAUGAAGAGAUGAAGACUUCUAGCAGGCUACCUCAGAAAGGUUGCUGACCAAAGGCUGUAUGGACCAAAAAGUCAUAACACCACCCUGGAUGAAAGGACAUUUACCUAAGGAAUUACCCGCUCUCAAUUCUUCCCAGGUGCAUGUAGUAUAGAUUAAAUAAGGUGGUUGUAUGGCAACAGAGACAUUAUUAGAAACAUUCUUCUUGAAGUUUGACAACAAAGCAGUAGAUGUGUAUCUACUACAGAGUUGUUAGUGAAAAAAG